rnacentral:rRNA from 1 species
GACGAACGCUGGCGGCGUGCUUAACACAUGCAAGUCGAGCGGUAGUGCCCUUUCGGGGGUAUGAGAGCGGCGAACGGGUGAGUAACACGUGAGCAAUCUGCCCUUCACUCUGGGAUAGCCACCGGAAACGGUGAUUAAUACCGGAUAUGACCAUGCCAGGCAUCUGGUGUGGUGGAAAGUUCUGGCGGUGAAGGAUGGGCUCGCGGCCUAUCAGCUUGUUGGUGGGGUAAUGGCUCACCAAGGAUUCGCCGGGUAGCCGGCCUGAGAGGGUGACCGGCCACACUGGGACUGAGACACGGCCCAGACUCCUACGGGAGGCAGCAGUGGGGAAUAUUGGACAAUGGGCGAAAGCCUGAUCCAGCAACGCCGCGUGAGGGAUGACGGCCUUCGGGUUGUAAACCUCUUUCAGCAGGGACGAAGCGCAAGUGACGGUACCUGCAGAAGAAGCACCGGCCAACUACGUGCCAGCAGCCGCCGUAAUAC